UCCAUUUAAUUAUAUAAAAACCAAGACUAUGUCUCUCUUUAAGACUUUAACACACUUUCUCUCUCAAACCACCACCACAGUGUUGCCACCACCGCCACCGCCUAAAACCACUACUAUGCUCCCAUUACCCACCCUACCUUUCUUUCUCUAACCACCGCACCACCAAUUCCAAUCUCUAAAACCUUUCAAUCGACUCAUACAAAUACAAAUACCUUUCAAUCGAGCCAUAAAUCUCUAAAACAUUUGGGAUCUUUGAGAACAGUAGAUCUAAAAGCUAACAACCACCUUGCCAAAACUUUUGGGUUCUUUGAGGGCAGAUCGUUGCAAGUCUUUGUAGAAGAUUGGAUACCUUUCAAACAAAACAAGUGGUUAUUUAUGUUCUCACUCCAUUAUUGUCCAGAACUCCUAAUGGAUCAAGAAAUUCAAAGCCACCUUUCUAGUUUCUUGAUGCAAUCUUUGGUCCAGGAAUGUACUAAUGUGAAUCAUCGAUUAAGUAUCACAGUUUAUGGUUUUGAAUCUGAAGGGUUUCAGAUUUGAGGCAGGUUUAUAAUUUCCUAGAUCUACAAGGGUUUCAUAUCUGAGGAGAAAGUGGAUGUUUAGAUAGACUUUAGGUUUAUGUUUGUAUAUAUAUUGUUAAUGUUAAUAUAAUAGGUAAAAUUACUCCA